UACGAAGGGGGCGAGCGUUGUUCGGAAUUACUGGGCGUAAAGGGCGCGCAGGCGGCCUUAGAAGUCAGAUGUGAAAGCCCCGGGCUCAACCUGGGAAUGGCAUUUGAUACUCUGAGGCUGGAGUACGGGAGAGGAGAGUGGAAUUCCCAGUGUAGAGGUGAAAUUCGUAGAUAUUGGGAAGAACACCGGUGGCGAAGGCGGCUCACUGGCUCAUUACUGACGCUCAUGCGCGACAGCGUGGGGAUCAAACAGG
rnacentral:rRNA from 1 species